GAAAGAAUAAAUGAGAGAUGACGAAGAAGCGCAACUGCUAAAAAAAGGCAGGAUAGAAGAGGGACCUAAUUGCGCAACCUGGUGGCUGCUGCCUCUCGCCGUUCACUUUUCACGAGAUUCCAUUUGCACGAAUCUCAUUUCCUUUCCUCUCCUUUCUUCUUUCUGUCUUUUCUCUAACUGCCCCCUCCGUUUUUCUCGUUUCACUCACUCUUAAACCUUGCUUCUCUGCGGCUAAGGAUGGUGGCCGAUGCCAAAGCUAAAUCUGAUAUCUCAUUCGCCGGAACUUUUGCUAGUAGCGCUUUCGCUGCAUGUUUUGCGGAGAUAUGCACAAUUCCCCUUGACACUGCAAAAGUUAGGCUCCAGCUCCAAAAGAAAGCUGUUGCUGGUGAGGGACUGGCCUUACCAAAAUACAGGGGUAUGUUGGGCACAGUUGCCACCAUUGCUAGGGAAGAAGGUCUAUCAGCACUCUGGAAAGGCAUUGUACCUGGCCUUCACCGACAAUGCCUGUUUGGAGGCUUAAGAAUUGGGUUAUAUGAGCCUGUUAAGACCUUUUAUGUAGGCAGUGACUUUGUUGGAGAUGUUCCUUUGACCAAGAAAAUUCUUGCUGCACUUACUACUGGUGCUCUGGCAAUUACUGUGGCAAAUCCAACUGAUCUUGUGAAAGUUAGACUUCAAGCUGAGGGAAAAUUACCACCGGGUGUGCCAAGGCGCUAUACUGGAGCAUUGAAUGCUUAUUCUACAAUUGUCAGACAGGAAGGAGUUGGUGCACUUUGGACUGGUCUUGGACCCAACAUAGCACGAAAUGCUAUUAUAAAUGCUGCUGAACUCGCCAGCUAUGAUCAAGUGAAGCAGACAAUUUUGAAAAUUCCUGGGUUCACGGACAAUGUUGUCACUCAUCUUUUUUCUGGGCUUGGGGCAGGAUUCUUCGCUGUUUGUAUUGGCUCCCCAGUUGAUGUGGUUAAGUCAAGAAUGAUGGGGGAUUCUGCUUACAAGAGCACACUAGAUUGCUUCAUUAAAACGCUGAAGAAUGAUGGACCUUUGGCUUUCUAUAAGGGAUUCAUUCCAAACUUUGGGCGGCUAGGAUCCUGGAAUGUGAUCAUGUUUCUAACCUUAGAGCAGGCUAAGAAAUUUGUCAGAAGUUUAGAAUCAUCUUGAGCUAUAGACAAAAGUAAAACCUGCAGUGCAUGGAUUUUGCAUGGAAAUGAUGGAGAUAGUCCUCAGAAUAAUAAGUUUCAUUACUUGUCAUUGUUCUUCCUAAUUUAGAUAGGUGUCCUGCAGAGGAAAUUUUAGGUACUUGAAAAGCUUUAAAAUAAUCACAAUUUGGAAUUUUUAAUAAUUUUUCCCCAUCAAUUUCAUUUCUGUACUUGUUAAUUUGCCCCCCA
rnacentral:misc_RNA from 1 species